UCGAGAAUCUUCGGCAAUGGGCGAAAGCCUGACCGAGCGAUGCCGCGUGCGGGAUGAAGGCCUUCGGGUUGUAAACCGCUGUCGUAGGGGAGAAAGGGUCGUUGAAGAAACGACUUUGAUCUAUCCUAGGAGGAAGUCCGGGCUAAGUUCGUGCCAGCAGCCGCGGUAACACGAACCGGACAAACGUUAUUCGGAAUUACUGGGCUUAAAGGGUGCGUAGGCGGUGCGGUAAGUGCGGUGUGAAAUCCCACGGCUCAACCGUGGAAUUGCGCUGCAUACUGCCGUGCUAGAGGGAGGCAGGGGUAAGCGGAACUGAUGGUGGAGCGGUGAAAUGCGUUGAUAUCAUCAGGAACACCGGUGGCGAAAGCGGCUUACUGGGUCUCUUCUGACGCUGAGGCACGAAAGCUAGGGUAGCGAACGGGAUUAGAUACCCAGGUAGUCCCUGAGCGGGCUGGCAAGGCGCAU
rnacentral:rRNA from 1 species